CCGGGUGGGUCCACCAUGCCAGAUUACUUGGACUCCUGGGGCCCCGGCACCAAGGUCACCGUCUCCUCGGGAGACUCUGCUGUCUGGGGACGGUGGGGACCCACGUGCACUGGGCCAGGUGAGGGCUUUGGCCUCGGACCUGGGGACAGGCACUCGGCGAGGGGGUCAGCAGGAGGGGGGAGGGCAUGUUUUUGUGUAGGAGAAGCAGGAGGGCAGACGCUGUGCUACUGGUACUUCGAUGUCUGGGGCUCUGGCACCCAGAUCACUGUCUCCUCAGGGACUGCGUCCGCCCCAGUCCUCUACCCCCUCGUCUCCUGUGAGAGUGCCAUGUUGGAUACGAGCAGAGUGUCCGUUGGCUGCCUGGCACGGGACUUCAUGCCCAACUCCAUCACUUUCUCCUGGAAAUACCAGAACAACUCUGACAUCAGCAGCAUCCAAGGCUUCCAGUCCCUCCUGAGAGGGGACAAGUACAUGGCCACCUCGCAGGUGCUGCUGCCUUCCAGGGACGUCAUGCAGGGCAGGGACGACCACGUGGUGUGCAAAGUCCAGCACCCCAACGGCAACCGGCAAAAGGACGUGCCUCUUCCAGUGCUCGCAGAACUGUCCCCAAACGUGAGUGUCUUCGUCCCGCCCCGCGAUGCAUUCACCGGCAACCCCCGUAAGUCCAAGCUCAUCUGCCAGGCCACGGGCUUCAGCCCCCGGCAUAUCAAGGUGUCCUGGCUGCAGGAGGGGAAGAAGCUGGAGUCUGGCUUCACCACGGGCCAGGUAGAGGCUGAGGCCAAAGAGUCUGGGCCCACGACCUACAAGGUGACCAGCACGCUGACCAUCGCCGAGAAAGACUGGCUCACGCAGAGCGUGUUCACGUGCCGCGUGGAUCACAAUGGCCUGGCCUUCCAGAAGAACGUGUCCUCCGCGUGUGGUGCCAAUCCAGCCACGGGCAUCCGGGUCUUUGCCAUCCCUCCAUCCUUUGCCAGCAUCUUCCUCACCAAGUCCACCAAGUUGACCUGCCUGGUCACAGACCUGGCCACCUAUGAUAGCGUGACCAUCUCCUGGACCCGCCAGAAUGGCGAAGUUCUGAAAACCCACACCAACAUCUCUGAGAGCCACCCCAAUGCCACCUUCAGUGCCACAGGUGUGGCCAGCAUCUGUGAGGAUGACUGGAACUCCGGGGAAAGGUUCAUAUGCACCGUGACACACACGGACCUGCCCUCGCCGCUGAAGCAGAGCAUCUCCAGGACCAAGGGGGCGGCCCUGCACAGGCCCGAAGUGUAUUUGCUGCCACCGGCCCGGGAGCAACUGAGCCUGCGGGAGUCGGCAACCGUCACCUGCCUGGUGACCAGCUUCUCUCCCGCGGACAUCUUUGUGCAGUGGAUGCAGAGGGGGCAGCCUCUGCCCCAGGAGAAGUACGUGACCAGCACCCCAGUGCCCGAGCCCCAUGCCCCAGGCCUGUACUUCGCCUACAGCACCCUGACAGUGUCCGAGGAGGACUGGAGCGCGGGGGAGAGCUACACCUGCGUCGUGGGCCACGAGGCCCUGCCCAACAGGGUCACCGAGAGGACCGUGGACAAGUCCACCGGUAAACCCACCCUGUACAAUGUGUCCCUAGUCAUGUCCGACACGGCUGGCACCUGCUACUGACCCUGCUGGGCUGCCCACGGGCUCGGGGCGGCCGGCCGCUCUGUGUGUGUGCAAACUAACCACGUCAAUGGGGCGAGAUGUUGCAUCUUUAAAACUAGAAAUAAAAAGAUCCAUUCAAAAGA